GGGGAGCCGGGGCCGCGCUGGGCUGGAGCCGCCCUGGGCCGGCAGCGCCGAGCUCCGCCGGGGAGGGAGCUGCUGCGCCGGGCCGGCAGGAUUUCUGAUCCCUGUGCCGGACGCUCUCCCGGAUGGAGCGAGGGGCAGAGCCGGGGGUCCCGGGUCCCCGGGGCGCUGAGGAGACCCCGAGAGACGCCCGCACAGCAGGCGAGGGGCUGGUGAGCGAGACCGAGGAGAAUCCCGAACAGGACAGUCCGGAGCCAGCAGAACUGCCUGGGACGUUCCCGGGACGUUCCCAGAGUCCUCAGCGGGGAGCGGCCUGCGAGCGGCAGGAUGACAAUGCCACGGCGGAGAGACUGGGUGAGUCCGCGCCGUACGGGGUGGAUUUCACAGGCCCCCACGGGACCGUGGCCCAGCCCAGAGCCUCCCCGGGAGACAGACUGUUCACCUGCCCCGAGUGCGGGAAGGGCUUCGGGCAGAGCGCCCACCUCAUCCGGCACCAGACCGUGCACACCGGGGAGCGGCCCUACAAGUGCCCCGAGUGCGGGAAGGGCUUCAGCCAGAGCUCGGACCUCACCACACACCGGCGCGUCCACACGGGCGAGGAGCCCUACGCCUGCGCCGAGUGCGGCAAGCGCUUCGCCCAGAGCUCCAACCUGAUCCGGCACCAGCGCACCCACACAGCCGAGACCCCCUACCGCUGCCCCGACUGCGGCAAGCGCUUCCGCCGCAGCUCCCACCUGGUCAUGCACCAGCGCACCCACACCGGGGAGCGGCCCUACCGCUGCCCCGACUGCGGCAAGCGCUUCAGCCACAGCUCCCACCUGCACCGGCACCAGCGCAUCCACACGGGCGAGCGCCCCUACAAGUGCCCCGACUGCGGCAAGAGCUUCGGCGUCAAGUCCACCCUGGUGACGCACCGGCGGGUGCACACGGCCGAGCGGCCCUACGCCUGCGCCGACUGCGGCCGGGCCUUCGCCCAGAGCUCCACCCUCAACCGGCACCGGCGCACGCACGCGGCCGAGCGCCCCUACCGCUGCCCCGACUGCGGCAAGAGCUUCAUCCAGAGCUCCAACCUGGUCACCCACCUGAUCCUGCACACGGGCGAGCGCCCCUUCCACUGCCCCCGCUGCCAGAAAACCUUCAGCCAGAGCUCCAACCUCAGCCGCCACCAGCGGACCCACGCGGGGCGCCGGGCCCGCCCGUGCCCCGAGUGCGGGGAGAGCGUCCCGCGCGGCGCCGGCCUGUCCGCUCACCAGAGACGCCACGCGGGGCAGGAGACGCCCUCCCCGCCCUGCUAGGGCCGGCUGGUCCCCCUGGUACCCGCCCGCCAGAGACGCCACGCGGGGCAGGAGACCCUCUCGCCACCCUGCUAGGGCCGGCUGGUCCUCCUGGUACCCGCGCACCAGAGACGCCACGCGGGGCAGGAGACGCCCUCCCCGCCCUGCUAGGGCCGGCUGGUCCCCCUGGUACCCGCCCGCCAGAGACGCCACGCGGGGCAGGAGACGACCUCGCUGCCCUGCUAGGGCCGGCUGGUCCUCCUGGUACCCAUCCACCAGAGACGCCACGCGGGGCAGGAGACGCCCUCGCCGCCCUGCUAGGGCCAGCUGGUCCCCCUGGUACCCACCCACCAGACACCACACGGGGCAGGAGACGCCCUCCCCGCCCUGCUAGGGCCGGCUGGUCCUCCUGGUACCCGCCCACCAGAGACGCCACACGGGGCAGGAGACGACCUCCCCCCCCGCUAGGGCCGGCUGGUUCCCCAGUACCCGCCCACCAGAGACGCCACGCGGGGCAGGAGACGACCUCGCUGCCCUGCUAGACCUGGCUGGUUCCCCAGUACCCGCCCACCACCCUGCCCAGCCAGGUGUGAGUCCCUCACACCUCUCCCAAGUAUCCGGCCACCCCAUCCUUGCUAGCAGCUGAUCAGACCCCUCCUCUGGCUCUGCCACGCCCAGGCAGCCCCAUCGGCUCCUCCUUGCUGCUGAGUUCCUGACCCACCUGAUGUGGCAGGAGGAGAAGGAACCUGCCACCCGCCCCUGCGUCUGGCCCAGCUGGAGCCGUGUCCUGUGGGGCGCUACCCUCUCCCCUCGGUGCUGCCCAGGGAGCUGGGCGCUGGGGUGGCUCGUGUGUGAUGGGCUGUGCCGGGGUUUGGCCGGCAGGACGGCGAGCCAGCCCCCCUCGCUCUCAUUUCCCCGGGUCUCCCCACGGAGCGUGCGCUGUGCACCCUGCCAGUGGUACCCGGAGCCCUUGUGGGGGGCUCCCUGCUGCCGGGGGGAGCUGGCCAGCGCCGUGGCCCCCUUCCCGGCUGUGUUUAUGAGGAGGCGUUCCAUUCUAGCUCCAUGGAUAAAGGCCGAUGACGUCGUCCCGGGAUGGCCGAGGCCGCCCGACCGGGCCAGGAGUCCAGCCAGGUCUCUCCUGCCCAUCCCUCUGCCUCAUUUCUCCUCUCCCCCCUCCCCGGAGAGUUCAGUGCUGGACGGACCCUGCACGUGAUCAAUAAACCAGGUCAGAGUGUCACGGCAUGUUUCUUACCCACCCAGCUGGCGUGCUGGAUCCAGAAAUAUCCACCUUUCCAGGGCGUCCCGCCUCCCCUGGGAAUUCCUUAGCGGCUUCUUCAGCGCUGUUAAUUCAAAUAUACACUGACCGAGUCGUUCGGCUCAACUCUCUGUUGUUACUUCCUGCGGCAUUUCAGCACAGAACGAAAGCUUCUGAUGUA